UCGGAGGGUUGGCUAGUGGUUAAGCCGCCAGUUUUGGGAACUGGCUGUCGGGGGUUCGAAUCCCCCCCUUCCGAG
rnacentral:tRNA from 1 species